AGUCUGUAACCCCGUCCACUCUGGCAGCAUUGAAUGAGUGCAGUGGCACAGGUUGUCAGGAAGUGACUCCUGUCCAGCAAGAGAAUAUCUAAAUUGAGUGUCUGGAAAAACAAACAAUUCAUGUCAAAAAGCUGUUCAAUCCACUUAGCAAAAGCAACAUCAAAAAGUAAGCUGUCAAGUGAACCUGGAGAAUAAACACAGAGCAGAGUGCACUGAAUGUGAAAAAGGCCUGGGUCAUCUUUAUUGAAUCUGCUCCACAGGGAUGUGGACAGAAGACUACCCAAACAUUUCACAACUCUGGCCUGCAGUGUCAAUCCUGGCAAUAGGACUCCUUGAAGGCAGCAGAGUGGUGCAUGGACUUCAUUUCAAGAAGACAACAAACAGACUCAGUGAUGGAGAGAAUCAUCAUGGAUGGAUAUAAUCUCUAGAAGACAGCAAAUAAUGGAGGAUGCAGGAGGGGUCCGGGGUGUUGGCAGGAAAAAAAACGGCGUACACAAAAAGUGUCAGUCCCACAAUUAUAAGACCAACUCCUGGCAGAAUCAUGUCACGAACCUGGGAGGAAGUUUUGUAGCCGUAGCUUAUUCAGCACUGCGAGGCAACACACUCAGCACAACAUAGCUCUCCCCCUCCAUGUCCUGGCAAGCUAAUACAUUUUUAUUACUUGUGUCAGGCCGUUUUAAAGGUACCACACUAUGCAAAUGAUGAAUUCUUCCCGGGGUGUAUUUUCUUGCUGACAGUUUGGAGAAAAGCUGAGUGUCACAACAUAGUUUUUUUUUUUUUUACUUUGCUUCUAGUCUUGGUUGGAACUACUUUCUCUCCACAUACGUACUAUAUCUCAAAGCUAUAGGACUGUUUUUUUGUGGAUUCAUGCCAGGUCCUCUUCCACAGUGUGGAAAGUAACACUUUAUUAGGAUGUAACCUCUCCAAGCGAAUGCUGACCAUCAGAGUUAGCCAUUUCAAUCAUUUCGCACCAGAUUUCCACUUGUUGCUACAUGCUUUUAAGACUCGUAAUUGGGGGUGAAAGGGAAGCCGUCUUAAUGGUGUUGGGUCUGACAGAAAUGGCUCGAGCCGCCUUCUAUAACUCAUGUUUCUCUCCCUCGCUUGCAGCCUCACUCUAAUGGGACAUGCCUCAAACUGAACAAUAGUUCCAUUAAACACCAAGUCAGAAACAAGAAGUUGAACACCGAGCCUUUCAAACUGGCGAGGGCCUGAAAGCUGAAAGAUGGAAUUUCAGCUUCUGCAGAUUAAAAGCCCAACGCCGCAGAUGGAAGUGAAAAAGAAUGAGAAGAGAGCGAGAGAGAGAAAGAAUGGUAGACGGAGGGAAAAACGAGGAAGCACAGGAGCAAGACAGAGGUGGCAGGCAGUCAAAGUGGCAGUUACACUGUAAAUAAGAUCUCCCCACAGGGUGCUUAACUCUGGACUGCCAUUGUCUGGCCUUUAAUAGCUUACAGGGCUGAGAGAGACAGAUUAGAGCAAAACUGCAGGGACACAGAAAUAUAGGCUUUGUCUACAGCUGGGAUUUAUCUCCCACCCUCAGUCUGAACUUUUGUUUUCCUGGGGGCUUCUACUGUGUUGACUCGAAAAGACCUGACUUGUGUCUCACUCCCCCAUCGAGUUUGAAUCAUUAUCACCUCAAAGAGACGAUCCCGACUCUGUUAACGCUCUGCUUUUGAACAAAUAAAUCUGCUCGACGGAACGUGCAGAAUUGAUGGACGUGGGGUAGUUGGUGAACUUUUUCAACUUUUACUGGGAUGCAUUUUUCCUCGGCGGAAAAGCAGAGUAGCGUGGAUCGAAAGCAGGCUCAUUAAUCAAAGUGCAGCCUAAAGGGAAAACAUACUGGGCUACAUUAAUUUUCACAGCGGAGUGGCUGAGGGAAAUGAUUAAUAUAUUACAGAGAGGAAACAGGUUAAGAAGGCCUGAUUACUGUCAUAUAGCAUAUCAAUGGGAAGUUAUGCAUUAUUUGCCUUUUUUGUCAUCGUAAAAGAGCUGCGACACAGAAAAUAAGUAUUAAACAGUGUAUUAUUUGUCUGCUGCAGAUCCAAAGAUUAAUAAAUAAUGCUUUUUUUCCAGAGUUUAGGCUACACAACCAAGCUGAAAAGAGUCGAGGGAGUGUCAUUUACAUAAUACACCUCGCAUUUAAAAUCAGGUGUUCGUUAAUAAUGAGCUCUUGUGUUUGAAGGAGCUCUUCAUUAGUGUGAAUGGGCAUGUGAUCGCCCGCGCUUUGAUGUGACUUCACACGGCCUGAAAAAAAAAAAAAAAAAAAGAACGCAUUCGGGUGGCUAAUGAAGUUCUAAAAACGACCCCAGAGUUCAGUCAAUGUCAGCGCUUCUUUUGACAUUAAAAGUGAACAAGAGACCUUUAAGAGUCUUUGAUGGUGCGCACACACGUUUAAAGGGCACUUUUAGAGGCGUACGAAAA